AUGGGAAUGAUGAUAGUAUUAAUUUUGUUAAGUUUACAAAAGUGAGUCAAUACAUACAAGCAUUUUGAACUGUGCCUGGGAAAUUGUAAAUGCUCAAGAAAUGUCAGUUAUUAUACUUCAUCCAAACUUCUGGGUAAAACUCAAGACCAAUUUAGUUUUAGAGUAAUUUUGACACUUUCUCAGUUCUUUAAAAACAUCUGUUUGCUAUGGCUGCUAUUCUUAUUUUUAAUUUUCUUUGCUCUUCAGUUGCUUGAAAGCUGUUUUGGCAACAUAUCCAAUUAUUAUGAAGCCUUUUUUUCUGGUUUAAAUUUGAAAAUAAUACAGUUCCUGGAGUUUUGUGUUGAAGCAGAAAUUUCAGUAUCAGAUUUGAACAUGAAGAUCUUUCCCCCCUUCCAAAUGGAAGCUAAGGAUAUAUUCUUAAGAAGAUAAGAAGAUUCUUUGCACAAACACAUGUGCAUUUAUAACCUGUGACCUGGGAAGGAAAUGGCAGGGGCAGACUUGACUAGUUCAGACAGAGACUGCAUGGGCCAUAAAGGCUAAAAUAUUUACUCUCUGGCCAGGUAUAGAAGAAGUUUGCCAACCUUUGUUCACGGAGAACAUCAAUGAGGCUAAAUAACAAAGAUUCUUCUUGCUAAGGGAAACAAGAGGCUACCCCAGCCAACCUUAAAACCAGGCAGAAUGAGAGGCCUAGCCUGUGAAUUCUGGUGUAGACUGGCAUAUCAGAGCUUCCCAGAGUCCGUUCAUAGCAGGUCGAUGGGUAAUGCUGGAAAAAAAAAAAAUGAAACCUGCAAAUUCGGACAUAUCUGCUUCCUGAAUUAAUGUUCUCCCAAGCUGUGAACAAGCAGUAGAAGGGACUUCUAGUCUCACCCCUGUCUUGGCUCUUCUGACCUACACCUUUGAGGCAUCUGGCUCAGAACAGAGAGGUUGACAGGACCACAAAUCCUGGAGAGGAGAAGGAAAAGAAGUGAUAGCUUGUAUCCUAAUAGUAGCUUGAAUGUAUAUAGUGUUUGGCAAUUUAGAAAAUUCUUUGAUGAAUGUAAUUUAAUUUCCUAAAAUCCAGAAUCUGAGCUGCAAAGGAACCUUGGGUGUCAUUUAACCCAAAGUUUCUGAACUGGAUUCCCUGCUGCCAUUGUGGGUGUAAUAAUUCUUGGUUUGGGGUGGGGAGGUCUCCUGCAGACUGCAGCAUGUUUCAUAGGAUCUCUGCCCUCUACAUUCCCAACCCCCUACAUGUGACAACCACAAACGUCUCCUGAGAGGCAAAACCGCUCCCUGUUGAGAAUUACUGAUCGAGGCUACCUUGGAGUUAUAAACAGAUUAUACACUUA